UGGGAGAUUUAUUUUUCAGCCGGAGGUACUGAUCGAGGUGUAGGUGUAUGAGAUGCACCGCCGAAUUUGCCACCAUAAAGUGAAUGGUUAGAUGACCGCAUCAAAAUACCAGGUCCAGGAAGGUUGUGGGACUCGGCGUGAAAAUUGGGAUUCACGAGACUCGUAAGGACUUUAACCCACGUGUUUUAUUGGCUGUAAAUCCACUUGUAUGGAGAAAUAUUUACUUAUGGGAGAAAAAAAUAAUCAGACAAGAGUAUCGCAGGAAUGGUUAUGGCCAGAAUUCUUCACAGUCAGUUUGCCUGCUAUAAAAUUUCUUGCCUGGGGAGAUGGCGAUGCAGAGAAUUAAGUGAUCGGAUUUAGAGGCAAAUCAAAACGGAUUUUCACCAAUCAAUUCAAGCAAUCCUCCCGACCAAUUUGUUCAUAUCACGGACACAGACCCCAGUUUUGUCACGCACCCCGUGACGGGAAUAAGGAACCAGCAGAGAUGGAAAACACUUUGGAGUCCGGAGAGGAAGAACAGCCCAGCGCCAGAGAAAGUGCUCCUAGACACCGGCAAAUGCAUUCGUCUGGAAGUCUCCCGCGGUAAAUAGCCGUUGCACCUCCGUUGAUUCUCCAAUCUCUGCCGGUCAAGGGGACUCACAGGAAUGAAGAGACAACGAACAAGCGCUGGGAAGGUCAACCCCGCCAUCCCGAGAGAUGAGCGCCAGUGUCUCUUACACUCUGAGACUGAGCCGUACUUCAUGGUCUUAGCAUCAGAUAAUUGGAUAUCAUCUCAAUCAGAGAAUCGAAAUUUUACUCAAAGAAUGAUCAACUGUUGGAAAAUGUUCCAUUUCCUCAAAAAAUGGUCAAUUAUUGCAAACUGUUCUACAAUUAUCUGCCACAGUAAUUGAAAUAUGAAUUAAAGAGUCUUAUGUCCUGGUGGAAAAGACAGCCCCGGAACCUGUUGGUCGUUUAUUUUAUGCUGCGGUAAUUCACGCCAGGGAAUGAAUCACAGACGUUGUUUUGUUUUCCCGGUAUUUGUUUCAUCGUUAACAAUUGUGAAAUUCCAUGAAGUUCCAUGAGACGGCAGGAAUCUGAAAUUCCUCUACAGGUCAGACGUGACGGAGAGGACUGUGUGCAUGACUUUAUUUGUAGGGAUAUUACUACUGGGAUAUCUGAGGGAGAAGAUCUGCCAUCGUUUGGAGAGCGGAGGCCUGUUCAGGUAUAUUUAUCACGACUGUGUAUGUGGGUGGUAAUUUAAUUCGAAUCUUUUGGAGAAUUUUUACAUGGGUAUUGGUAACGAAAGGGAUGUAUGAAGUCAGUUCAGUGCAAUUUAAUAAGGCCAUUGACAACUCCCACACGGCAGACUGUUCCGAAAGUUUAUGUACUCUGGGAUUCAUGGCAAGGAAGGAGUUGGACUCAGAAUUGGCUCAGUGAUAGGGGGUGAUGACGGAGGGGUAUUCUAAGACAGGAAGCCUGUGACGAAUUGGAUGCCUCAGGAUCAGUUGGGAUCUCUGUAAUUCCUCGUUUAUCUUGAUCACAUCGACGUCAAUGUAAAUAGCUCAGUUAGUAAGUUGAGUGACGACACUACAUUAGUCUUGUUUAGGCUGAAUCACGUAACAUUCAAUGACAUGGAAAUUUAAUCUAAUAGGGAGACAUUCCGAGGAAUUAAAAAUAUGUGCCAAAGUGAUUCAUGUGAUGUGAUAUAUUUUGCGCAUUCGCACCAGGGUUCAAACAAUACAGUGAAUGACAGGAAAAUGCCGAGCGUUGUGAACAUAUAUAAGAGCAUAAGAAAUAGGAGCAGGAGUUGGCCAUCCUGCCCAUCCAGCAUGCCCCGCCAUUCGAUAGGUUCAUGGCUAAUCUGUCGGCAAACUCAGCGCCCUGUGCAUACCUUUUCCCAAUAAUCCAUAAUUCCCUUUCUAUGUAAAAACCGGUUUUACUGUAUCUUAAAUACAGUUAGUGAGCAAGUCUCAACUGCUUCCCUGGACACAGAAUUCCACAGAUUAACCACUCUCCGGGAAAAAACAAUUUCUCCUCAUCUCCGUCCUAAAUCUUCCUCCCUGAAUCUUGUGGCAAUGUCCCCUAGUUCUCUCUGAGCUACCAAUGGAAAUGGCUUUCCCAUUUCUAUCUUAUCUAUACAUUUCAAAAUGGUAAAAUUGUCUGAUAAAGAGACAAGUGAACUUUCGCCAAUCCACGCCUGCUGACUGUGUUACCGAUUUCAUCAGGCCCCGUGAGAAUGAAUGUGGCCUUCGCUGAGGACAAGAUCCGCAUUACUCAGGACUGGUGAUCUGGAACUAUACAACAAGGUCAGGAACGACUUACGGAAAGUAAUAAAAGAGCGAGAAACAACAGUAUGGUGUCCGAGGCUUCCGACAAAUGCAAGUAAUCUUCUGGGUAAGCAUGAGUGAAUG